rnacentral:rRNA from 1 species
AAGGGGUGCUCUUUGAGGUUCACGCUUCGAAGAGCCGCAGUGAAUAGGCCCAAGCGACUGUUUAUCAAAAACACAGGUCUCUGCUAAACCGUAAGGUGACGUAUAGGGGCUGACGCCUGCCCGGUGCUGGAAGGUUAAGAGGAGUGGUUAGCAUUAGCGAAGCUACGAAUCGAAGCCCCAGUAAACGGCGGCCGUAACUAUAACGGUCCUAAGGUAGCGAAAUUCCUUGUCGGGUAAGUUCCGACCCGCACGAAAGGCGUAACGAUUUGGGUACUGUCUCAACGAGAGACUCGGUGAAAUCAUAGUACCGGUGAAGAUGCCGGUUACCCGCGACAGGACGGAAAGACCCCGUGGAGCUUUACUGUAGCCUGAUAUUGAAAUUCGGUACAGUUUGUACAGGAUAGGUAGGAGCCUUAGAAGCGUGAGCGCUAGCUUACGUGGAGGCAUUGGUGGGAUACUACCCUAAUUGUAUUGGAUUUCUAACCCGCAACUCUUAUCGAGUUGGGAGACAGUGUCAGGCGGGCAGUUUGACUGGGGCGGUCGCCUCCUAAAGAGUAACGGAGGCGCUCAAAGGUUCCCUCAGAAUGGUUGGAAAUCAUUCAUAGAGUGUAAAGGCAUAAGGGAGCUUGACUGCGAGACCUACAAGUCGAGCAGGGUCGAAAGACGGACUUAGUGAUCCGGUGGUUCCGCAUGGAAGGGCCAUCGCUCAACGGAUAAAAGCUACCCCGGGGAUAACAGGCUUAUCUCCCCCAAGAGUUCACAUCGACGGGGAGGUUUGGCACCUCGAUGUCGGCUCAUCGCAUCCUGGGGCUGUAGUCGGUCCCAAGGGUUGGGCUGUUCGCCCAUUAAAGCGGUACGCGAGCUGGGUUCAGAACGUCGUGAGACAGUUCGGUCCCUAUCCGUCGUGGGCGUAGGAAAUUUGAGAGGAGCUGUCCUUAGUACGAGAGGACCGGGAUGGACAUACCUCUGGUGUACCAGUUGUCGUGCCAACGGCAUAGCUGGGUAGCUAUGUAUGGACGGGAUAAGUGCUGAAAGCAUCUAAGCAUGAAGCCCCCCUCAAGAUGAGAUUUCCCAACUUCGGUUAUAAGAUCCCUCAAAGAUGAUGAGGUUAAUAGGUUCGAGGUGGAAGCGUAGCGAUACGUGGAGCUGACGAAUACUAAUCGAUCGAAGACUUAAUCAAUUU